rnacentral:rRNA from 1 species
AUUGAACGCUGGCGGCAGGCCUAACACAUGCAAGUCUAACGGUAACAGGAAGAAGCUUGCUUCUUUGCUGACGAGUGGCGGACGGGUGAGUAAUGUCUGGGAAACUGCCUGAUGGAGGGGGAUAACUACUGGAAACGGUAGCUAAUACCGCAUAACGUCGCAAGACCAAAGAGGGGGACCUUCGGGCCUCUUGCCAUCGGAUGUGCCCAGAUGGGAUUAGCUAGUAGGUGGGGUAACGGCUCACCUAGGCGACGAUCCCUAGCUGGUCUGAGAGGAUGACCAGCCACACUGGAACUGAGACACGGUCCAGACUCCUACGGGAGGCAGCAGUGGGGAAUAUUGCACAAUGGGCGCAAGCCUGAUGCAGCCAUGCCGCGUGUAUGAAGAAGGCCUUCGGGUUGUAAAGUACUUUCAGCGGGGAGGAAGGGAGUAAAGUUAAUACCCUUGCUCAUUGACGUUACCCGCAGAAGAAGCACCGGCUAACUCCGUG